rnacentral:rRNA from 1 species
CAUGCAGGCGUUUAGACAAGUCAGAUGUGAAAUCCCCGCGCUUAACGUGGGCAUUGCAUUUGAAACUGUUUAGCUAGAGUUCUGUAGAGGGGGGUAGAAUUCCAGGUGUAGCGGUGAAAUGCGUAGAUAUUGGGAAGAACAUCGGUGGCGAAAGCGCCUUGCUGGGUCUGCACUGACACUGAGGGACGAAAGCUAGGGGAGCGAAAGGGAUUAGAUACCCCUGUA